rnacentral:rRNA from 1 species
UACGUAGGGACCAAGCGUUGUUCGGAUUUACUGGGCGUAAAGGGCGCGUAGGCGGCUUGACAAGUCACUUGUGAAAUCUCCGGGCUUAACUCGGAACGGCCAAGUGAAACUGUCAUGCUAGAGUGCAGAAGGGGCAAUCGGAAUUCUUGGUGUAGCGGUGAAAUGCGUAGAUAUCAAGAGGAACACCUGAGGUGAAGACGGGUUGCUGGGCUGACACGUGACGCUGAUGUGCGAAAGCCAGGGGAGCGAACGGGG